AGUGUAAUUGCUGGAUGGUAUGGUUAACUUUUGUGAGGAGUGCUAUAGUGUUUUCCACAACUGUUGUACCACUUUACAUUUCCACCAGCAAU
rnacentral:pre_miRNA from 1 species